rnacentral:lncRNA from 1 species
UUUCCAUCAGAGGGCAGAGUCAGCUUGGAGGGCAGAAUCUCCUUGACAGCGGAGCAUUUGAAUCACUGUGAAAGAAAGAUGAGAGCAAGAGGGAAUGUGCAGCGCCAGACGCCGGGCCCUGUAGGUCAUGGUCGGUUCUUUGGGAACACAUCUAGUGUCCACAGAAGUGGGAAAGGGCCUGACGCUGGGGACUCCCUUCACAUCAAGGAGAAUUGCUCUGGAAUGCUGUGGCCCAUUUCACCACCCAAGGUAGAGAUAAAAAAACGAAAGAUGCAAGCAGCACCUCACCGUCCUGGAAUCAUGGAGGAUAACAUGGAAAAAAAGAAUGAAAAUAGAAGAUUCCAGCAAGUAGAUUCUUCUGAAAUGUUCUUCCAACAUUUUGAGAUGGACAUAUCCCAAAAGUUGAUAAUUAUGAGGAUUUUAGUACAUCAUUCACACAAAAUAAAGAAUCCACUCUUCUAUUCUAGACUUCAAGGCAGAAUUCUGCUGUUAACACAGAAGUGGCCUUGCAUUCUAAGUAGGAUGGUCUCCAACUUGCUGUAGAAUUGUGGACUUAGAUGAAUGAAUAGAAAGAAAACAGAAAUUUCUUAUAAAUUGGUUUUUAUAUUUACCACCCCAUUGUAAAACUAUUACUAAAGGCCAUUAACCUCGAAAAUAUUUCAAAGCUUGCCGAAAAGGCAGACGUAUGCUAAGAUAAAGGAGAGUCUCUUCUGUAUGCGGCAUCUCUUAGUUAU